CUUUGAUCGCCAUGCCGGAGUGAGACUUCUGAGGAUCUUCCGGACAGGUUCUCUAUCCGUAACGUCUUUUUGAGGGCGUGUAGAUCAUUCACGAUCAUUGAGAAUCGCUUAAACAUUUCGUCUACUUUCUCUCCUUCCUUCAUUUGGAAUAGUUCAUAAGAGUGAGUUAAGAAAUCAAUUUUAGCUUCUCGUACCUGGUCGGUUCCU
rnacentral:lncRNA from 1 species